rnacentral:lncRNA from 1 species
CAGAUCUCUCAAGUCACCCUAAUGGUAACUGCAUUCCCUGUGGCAUUUUCUGCUGCAUGGAUGUGAGGAUGAGGAGCAGAAUCCUUCGCUAAAAGCAAAGCCUGAAUCCACAAAAUGGAGUCAAAUUCAGGAUGAAAGAAGCCACCUAUUCAACGGCAGAGCAGGAGUGUGAGAUCUGUGUUGAUUAAGGUGGUGUUGAGGAGACAAGAGCAAAGAUAUGGCACCGGAAUGGCUGGAUAGCCUGAGCAGGGGGAUGUAACCCAAGGCUGUGGUGUUGAGAGACCA